rnacentral:rRNA from 1 species
GGUCGGGACGCUUACUGGGCCUAAAGCGCCCGUAGCCGGCCCAGCAAGCCCUUACUGAAAUCCUUGGGCUUAACCCGAGGAUAGGUAAGGGAACUGCUGGGCUAGGGGGCGGGAGAGGCCGAGGGUACUCCCGGGGUAGGGGCGAAAUCCUAUAAUCCCGGGAAGACCACCAGUGGCGAUGGCCGCUCGGCUGGAACGCGCCCGACGGUGAGGGGCGAAAGCCGGGGGAGCGAACCGGAUUAGAUACCCGGGUAGUCCCGGCUGUAAACGAUGCGGGCUAGGUGUUGGGUGGGCUUUGAGCACACCCAGUGCCGCAGGGAACCCCGUUAAGCCCGCCGCUUGGGGAGUACGGCCGCAAGGCUGAAACUUAAAGGAAUUGGCGGGGGAGCACCACAAGGGGUGGAGCCUGCGGUUUAAUUGGAGUCAACGCCGGGAAUCUUACCGAGGGCGACAGCAGGAUGAAGGCCAGGCUAACGACCUUGCCAGACACGCUGAGAGGAGGUGCAUGGCCGUCGCCAGCUCGUGCCGUGAGGCGUCCGGUUAAGUCCGGCAACGAGCGAGAUCCCCACCCCCAGUUGCGAUCCCGAUCCCUGGAUCGGGAGCACACUGGGGGGACUGCCGCCGAUAAGGCGGAGGAAGGAGGGGGCCACGGCAGGUCAGCAUGCCCCGAAUCCCUCGGGCUACACGCGGGCUACAAUGGUGGGGACAGCGGGUGCCGACCCCGAAAGGGGAAGGCAAUCCCUGAAACCCCGCCGUGGUUGGGAUCGAGGGCUGUAACUCGCCCUCGUGAACGUGGAAUCCCUA